UAAUCAUUAGUCUUUUAAUUGAAGGCUGGUAUGAACGGUUGGACGAGGUAUAAGCUGUUUCAUAUAAAUUUAUAAUAGAAUUUUAUAUUUUAGUCAAAAAGCUAAAAUAUAUUUAAAAGACGAGAAGACCCUAUAAAUCUUUAUAUUUUGUGUUGUUUAAAUUUUUUGGAAUUGGUUUAUUUUUAUAAUAUAAAAUAUUUUGUUGGGGUGAUAUUAAAAUUUAAUUAACUUUUAAUUAUUUAAAAUCAUUAAUUUAUGAAUUAUUGAUCCAUUAAUAGUGAUUAUAAGAUUAAGUUACUUUAGGGAUAACAGCGUAAUUUUUUUGGAGAGUUCAUAUCGAUAAAAAAGUUUGCGACCUCGAUGUUGGAUUAAGAUAUAAUUUUAGGUGUAGUCGCUUAAAUGUUAAGUCUGUUCGACUUUUAAAUUCUUACAUGAUCUGAGUUCAGACCGGCGUAAGCCAGGUUGGUUUCUAUCUUUAAAUUUUUAUAAUGCCUUAGUACGAAAGGACCAGGCAUUAAAAUAAUAAUAUUUUAUUUAUAGAAUGUGAUUAAUU
rnacentral:rRNA from 1 species